rnacentral:rRNA from 1 species
UACGAAGGGGGCUAGCGUUGCUCGGAAUCACUGGGCGUAAAGCGCACGUAGGCGGCUUGUUAAGUCAGGGGUGAAAUCCUGGAGCUCAACUCCAGAACUGCCUUUGAUACUGAAGAUCUUGAGUUCGGGAGAGGUGAGUGGAACUGCGAGUGUAGAGGUGAAAUUCGUAGAUAUUCGCAAGAACACCAGUGGCGAAGGCGGCUCACUGGCCCGAUACUGACGCUGAGGCACGAAAGCGUGGGGAGCAAACAGGG